rnacentral:snoRNA from 1 species
GUGUCCUGACCUCAUCCUGGCUCUUCCCCUCACCGGACCUGUGGUGGUGGGGUCUGGGGGUGGACACAGAUCAACUUACCCUCUCAAGUUAGGAGGGUUGCUUGAAGAUGUUUGCAAACCCUUAAAGGCAAGAGAGGACAUC